rnacentral:rRNA from 1 species
GACGAACGCUGGCGGCGUGCUUAACACAUGCAAGUCGAACGGAAAGGCCCCUUUGGGGGUACUCGAGUGGCGAACGGGUGAGUAACACGUGAGUAACCUGCCCUUGACUUCGGGAUAACUUCAGGAAACUGGGGCUAAUACCGGAUAGGAAUCCUUGCUGCAUGGUGGGGGUUGGAAAGCUUCGGCGGUUUUGGAUGGACUCGCGGCUUAUCAGCUUGUUGGUGGGGUAGUGGCUUACCAAGGCUUUGACGGGUAGCCGGCCUGAGAGGGCGACCGGCCACAUUGGGACUGAGAUACGGCUCAGACUCCUACGGGAGGCAGCAGUGGGGAAUAUUGCACAAUGGGCGGAAGCCUGAUGCAGCAACGCCGCGUGCGGGAUGACGGCCUUCGGGUUGUAAACCGCUUUCAGCAGGGGCGAAGCUUGUGGUGACGGUACCUGCAGAAGAAGCACCGGCUAACUACGUG